CUCAUAUACACUCAUAUACACUAUACACUGAACACAAUUUCAAAAGCGAUUUUUAAAAUUUAGAUCUAAUUUCUCUCUAAUCACCGCCACAAACCACCGCCACUUCACCUCCUAAUCGGCUCCAUAUCCUACCGACCCAAAUCACUAACUACCACCACCAUCGACACCGCCUCCAUGAAAGACGGCGGCUCCGCCGUGUUGGAGACGAUCAUGGACGAACUGAGCUUUCUCCACCGCUCCUCCACCACCCUUCAAACCACCAACCGCCGCUGCUCCACCACUAGCCCCCGCCUCGGCGUUUUCCCAUUUUGAUUUUGUAGUGUUAUUCUUUUUCAAGGUUCAAAUUUUGCUUUAGCUGUGAUUAUAAAUACAUCGAUACACAUAUAAAGAUGUGGCGGAGCGUGACACAUGGCCUUCGCAUUCCAUCCCGUCUAUCGAUCUUCGGCAACAAAUUAUUCUCAUCUUAAUCGAAUACGGGGCGGUCAUCGUAUACGAUUGAUUAUAAAGUGAAGAUGCAGGGGAUGUCCGAGGGGAAAAAGGGAAGUUGUCGGUGACGGUGGAGGUGUUCGAGAUGGCGGAGGUAACGGUCGUACGGCGAAGCGGGUUCAGAUCCGGUUUGGGGUGGUUUAGAUUGGGUUCAACAAUUGACCACAUCAUCGCAUGGGUGUUGGUUCAAGUCCGGUUUGGGACGGCGUACUGCAGAGCUGCAAUGUCAUCUUUAAGAAGAACUUGUGUUCUUCAGUUGAGGUAUAAAAUGUUUCGGAUGUUGUUUUUGACCAAAUUUUGUAAUUAGGUUUUAUCCUCGAAACUUUGUUGAAAAGUUAAAAGUGGCUGUCUGUUAAUUCUGUUUUGAUUCUCUGUUUCUUGAAUAUGCAAACACUGUAUUCAUAACAUUUCUUGAAGUUGAAUGUAAAAUCUCUUUGAUUA